rnacentral:tRNA from 1 species
GGUCUCGUAGCUCAGUUGGUUAGAGCAUCUCCCUUUUAAGGAGAAUGUCCUGUGUUCGAGUCACAGCGAGAUCACCA